AUUGAAAGCUGGCGGCAGGCUUAACACAUGCAAGUCGAGCGAGCGGCGGACGGGUGAGUAAUGUCUGGGAAACUGCCUGAUGGAGGGGGCUAACUACUGGAAACGGUAGCUAAUACCGCAUACCAUCAGAUGUGCCCAGGUGGGCUUAGCUAGGAGGUGGUGUAAUGGCUCACCUAGGCGACGAUCCCUAGCUGGUCUGAGAGGAUGACCAGCCACACUGGAACUGAGACACGUCCCAGAAUCCUACGGGAGGCAGCAGUGGGGAAUAUUGCACAAUGGGCGCAAGCCUGAUGCAGCCAGGCCGCGUGUGUGAAGAAGGCCUUCGGGUUGUAAAGCACUUUCAGCGAGGAGGCGUUACUCGCAGAAGAAGCACCGGCUAACUCCGUGCCAGCAGCCGCGGUAAUUC
rnacentral:rRNA from 1 species